CGCGCUCGCCUAGGUGCCUGGGCCCUUAGCGCACUGGGUGCUCAUAGGUGUCCCGAAGAGCGCUUGGGGCCCGCGUGCGUGAAGGGCUUGCUUGAGACUCAGAAGAGUUGCAGUUGUCAGGAGAAGGGCGGAAAAAGGGCCGGGACAGUCCUUUCCUUUGCCGAAUACUGCGAAAAUCCAUUCCUUGGAGAACCGCACUGGCUUCCAGUUACCCACCCUUCACACUUAGGGCCAUCUAAGGGAAACAGCCUUACAGGAGAAGGCAGCUGUAACAUCAGAACGCUAGGACUCGUUUCCUAUGCUGCUGUUUCCUAGCUGUGGCAAGGCUUUAAGUCCUUCCAAGCCUCACUUUCUUCCUCUGAAAUGGGCACAAUAUUGAAAUGAGAAAUCGAAGAGAUACAGCAUGGAAAAGAUUUAGGAAGCUGGAUGACCCCUAGCGUAAGACUCAGAUGAGAUGCCGGGAGAGGGGUCAGAGCGUGAGACGAGAUCCAACUUUGGCAUGAGGGUUUCUUGGAGGAGUGGGAAUUAGACCAGGGUUUAAAAGAAAGGUGGGUGUCAAGAAACAGAAGCGGGAGAGGUGGCUGCGAACAGAAGGGCAUUCUAGGCCGAGGGAAUCCAGAGCAAGGCCGGCACAGCCAGAAAAUGCUGAGUGAGUUCUAGGAGUGUGGUGAAGAGGUCAGGUAUGUGAGCUGCCAGCGCGGUGGGUGCUGUCAGAAUUCCCAGAAAGCCCAGGAUUGCCCAGGGGAGGUCUGCUGCUAGCCACCAUGGUGCCUUGGUGAGAAUUAAGUUCAUCCCCCUCAGACAGCUGAGCCUGUGUUCCCCGCCCACCUCUGAUCCCCUGGGGCCCUUGAAUCAGUGAGCCGGCUUCAUAACCAUAGGUCUGGGGCCAUGGAGGCUAAGGAGAACGGUAGGGGAAGCUAAGAGCCUCAGCUCAGUCUAGAGUUUGAAUAUAAUUUUCUGCCGUCACACCAACUCAGGAAACCAGUCUUUCUCACCCACAGCACAGGUAAUAAUGCCUACCUCAUGGAGUGUUUUCAGUGAGACAUUAAAUAAAUGGACCUGGCACAGAUCCCUAUUCAGUUAAGGUCACUUUUGUUAACUGAGUUUGUUGUCUGUGUGCACCCAUCCCGGAAGUUGGUCCACCAGACGCUGACCCCUAGCUGCCCAAGCACUGACCACCUGGAGAUGGUAAAGGAGAGGGAGAAGUGGAAGGAACUGGGUGCUCUCAGUUCCACCAGCCCUCACACUGUUUCAUGGGAACCGCUUCCUGCCUUUGCGUGCACGCCAUUCUGCUGACCCAAGUGUGUUCAGAGAUUCUGAGACCUCCGGGGUUGGCAGAGUCAUGGUUACUGAAGAGUGGAACCCCCUCCCUGCACUCCCUUCCUUGGCUCUGUGACCUCAGCCUGCUGGAAUUUGCUGGCCAUGGAAGGGAGCAGUGAUGCACAGAGCUCAUCCACCGCUGGCUCUCUGGAGGGCCAUAACCGCAUUCUUGCUGUUUAUACGGUGUCUGGAAGAAGAAUGUGAGCUAGAAGCAGAGGAGGGAGAAGGAGCCUUCCUGCCUGCCUGCUGUGGGACCUGGCUUGUCCUGUGUUGGAAAGGGCUCCCUUGCCCUUGCUCCUCACACCUGAAGGAGAUGACUGUCACUAGCCCCCAGGCACACACUUGACUGGACCUCCCUCAGCUGAGCCAGCCAGAUUCUGAGCAAUCCAAAGUUCACAGGGUUGCAGGCCUCUGGAGAGCAUCGCUGGACUUGCUGUGCUCCAGGGCACCAGCUUCUGUCCUUGACAACCAUCUGAAGCUAGAUCAGGCCCAGAGUGUUUUCCUUCACCUGGAUCGUACCUGUUCUCCUUCCCAGACUCCACGCCAAUGUGAGCCCACCAGGAAGUCCUCUCAGGAUAGCACAGGCCCUCGUGCUCCGAGCUCUUCCUUCAACCUGCGGAGCUUGUGUGGACCGGCCUGCCUCCCACCCAACUCUCAAGUGCUCUGCUGCCCCCAGGCGGCGAGAUGGGCAUGAGGCCCCUGAAACAUUUCCAGUCCAAGGUCAAAGCCCCAAGCAGCACAGGCAUUGAAAUAUCACACGGGAUCCCAUCAGUCAUUUACGAAGAUGUUUAUUGACCGACUAAUUGAUUUAAAGUGAUCCUGAGAGUUCUUCAGAGAAACUGGUGACCAGAAAGUAAGAAAAUCAUGUGUGUGGCUAGGAUCUCGGCCCUGGCAAAGACAGACAGGCUGCUCCAUCGACCCUGCCACCCCCAGGGGAGAUCCCAGAAGCCUGGAAGCUCUUCCAUCCCUCCCUUUCAAGUGCAGCAGGGUGACCUCUCCAACCACUCUUCGAAUGGAGCCGACCCUAACAUCCAACUCAAAGAGCUUCUUGGGACGGUCCAAGGGAAGCGUACAGACACCUGCCACAGCCCGACGCUCCGUGGACGGUGUCAUCGUGGCCUGCUGCCGCGUGUCCCGGCACUGCUGUAGCCCAUGAAGACAAACCGGGCAGCUUAAAACAUCAGAAAUUUAUUUCCUCAAAGUUCUUAAGUCCAGAAGUCCAAAAACCAAGUGACACCACUCGUCGGGUUUAGGGCCCACUUUCAUGGAGCAGGACCUCUGUCUGCCUGAGUUAUACCUGCAAAGAUCCUGUUUCCAAGUCACCUUGCAGCCUGGGGUACACGGACAUGGUCAUGGAGGGACCUUGCUCACCCCCUCCACGUGCUGUCCCAAGCGUGGGGCCCUGAAGAAGAGACAGGACAGGGACCGAGCCUACUGUGAUCAAUCAAAGUCAGGCCCAGAACUGACGUACAAACUUCUUGGUGGUAAAAAAAGAGACCAAAAUCAGAGCAAUGCAGCAACCAAGAUGAGUUUAUUGGGACCUUUUAAAAACACUGCACACCAGCUGGUGUGGAGGUGCACACACCUGUAAUCCCAGCACCGGGGCGGCUGAGACAGGAAGAUGGCUGGG